AUGCUGCCCCCGACAAUUUACCCAUAGAAGCGCCAGCCAGGCAGUCGGUGGCAGCCUGUUCAUGUGACCACAUGCGCCGGAAUAGUACUCAAUGUUGCUAGGUAGCGGUUACCUCCUUUACCUCUCGCCCACUCCUUUCUCUCUCGAGUGUUGCAGCAUCGGCGGAGUUCAAAAUACGCCGCCGGGCAUUCGCGUACCCUCGGCCAAAAGGUUGUCCCAACGUGAGCGCCUGGCUAACGAAAUAAAAAAAAAACAUAUAACCGUACUAUUUGCCUGCGCAGAGUGACACGAAAGUGCUGUAUAAACUGAGGCGAGAAAUAAGGAGUAAACAGUGAUAGGUUAGAAUGAGAGAGGGAGAGAGAGAAUGAAUGAGACAGGGUCAUGUGGGAAGCAUGCACUCCCCUGGGGACGCAGUGCAAUGGCCCUCUUCCUUAUUCUCGCAGGUCCUUAGCGGAGUCGGUGAUGCAGUAACGACUCGCCACGGCAACCGCUUCGCUGAUUCAGCACUUUUCUUAUCCUGUCUUCAAGAAGGAAGCCCGAAAAACCACACUCGAAAGCAACUGUAAGCACAGCCUGCAUUAUCCAGAGUCAAAAUGUUGGACAAUUUGGCACCAGAUAUGCUACUGCUGGCCACGGCAUCGGUAAUCUGAUAAUCUGUAAACGAGGAUCAAACGCAUUCUUAGCAAACAGCGUUUGCUCUGAAUUCUCGCGUUGCGCACAGGACGAGAUCAUGCAACAGGUA